rnacentral:rRNA from 1 species
UGGUGGAGCGAUUUGUCUGGUCAAUUCCGAUAACGAACGAGACUCUAGCCUACUAAAUAGUUCGGGGACCCCCACAAAGGGGCCCCGCUUCAACUUCUUAGAGGGACAGGUGGCGUUUAGCCAUACGAGAUUGAGCAAUAACA